UGGCAGAAGACUAGGUGGAAAUGGCA
rnacentral:piRNA from 1 species